UACGUAGGUGGCAAGCGUUGUCCGGAUUUACUGGGCGUAAAGAGCGCGCAGGCGGUCGUUCAAGUCGCGUGUGAAAGCCCCCGGCUCAACUGGGGAGGGUCACGCGAUACUGAUCGACUCGAAGGCAGGAGAGGGUAGUGGAAUUCCCGGUGUAGUGGUGAAAUGCGUAGAUAUCGGGAAGAACACCGAUGGCGAAGGCAGCCAUCUGGACCGACACUGACGCUGAGGCGCGAAAGCGUGGGGAGCAAACAGG
rnacentral:rRNA from 1 species